CACUAAGAAGCUUGGACAGCACCAGCCUUUUAAGUUGGAGAGGAAUUAACCAUUCCUUAGUGG
rnacentral:tRNA from 1 species